rnacentral:rRNA from 1 species
UGAAUACGAGACGCUACGGCGUUGAAGCAGUCUAUGUCAUACUUCCAAGAAAAGCUCGCAAUGUCUUAAACAAAUAAUGCCUGUACCAUAACCGACACAGGUGGGUAGGUAGAGUAUACUAAGGGGCGCGAGAUAACUCUCUCUAAGGAACUCGGCAAAAUGACUCCGUAACUUCGGGAGAAGGAGUGCCUUAUUUAUAAGGUUGCAAUAACAAGAUCCAAGCAACUGUUUAUCAAAAACACAGGUCUCCGCUAAGUCGUAAGACGAUGUAUGGGGGCUGACGCCUGCCCAGUGCCAGAAGGUUAAAGAAGUUGGUUAGCAUUAGCGAAGCUGAUGACUGAAGCCCUGGUGAACGGCGGCCGUAACUAUAACGGUCCUAAGGUAGCGAAAUUCCUUGUCGGGUAAGUUCCGACCCGCACGAAAGGCGUAAUGAUUUGGAUACUGUCUCGGAGAGGGACUCGGUGAAAUAGACUUGUCUGUGAAGAUGCGGACUACCUGCACCUGGACAGAAAGACCCUAUGAAGCUUUACUGUAACUUGAAAUUGAAAUUGGACUUUAUUCGCGCAGUAUAGGUGGGAGGCUUUGAGAAUAUUCUUGCGGGAAUAUUUGAGCCAUCAGUGAGAUACCACCCUUGUAAUGUUAGAUUUCUAACUUUGUAUCAUGAUCUGGUCAAAGAACAGUUUCAGGCGGGCAGUUUGACUGGGGCGGUCGCCUCCCAAAUGGUAACGGAGGCGUACAAAGGUUUCCUCUGAACGGGUAGAAAUCGUAUCUAGAGUGUAAAGGCAUAAGGAAGCUUGACUGUGAGACCUACAAGUCGAGCAGGGACGAAAGUCGGUCUUAGUGAUCUGACGGUGCUGAGUGGAAAGGCCGUCACUCAACGGAUAAAAGUUACUCUAAGGAUAACAGGCUGAUCUCCCCCAAGAGUUCACAUCGACGGGGAGGUUUGGCACCUCGAUGUCGGCUCAUCGCAUCCUGGGGCGGUAGUACGUCCCAAGGGUUGGGCUGUUCGCCCAUGAAAGCGGUACGCGAGCUGGGUUCAGAACGUCGUGAGACAGUUCGGUCCAUAUCCGGUGUAGGCGUUAGAAUAUUGAGAGGAGCCUUCUUUAGUACGAGAGGACCGAGAAGGACAUACCUCUGGUGUACCAGUUAUCGUGCCAACGGUAAACGCUGGGUAGCUAUGUAUGGAGAGGAUAACCGCUGAAAGCAUCUAAGUGGGAAGCCCACCUCAAGAUAAG